GUGGAUUAUCCCCUUUGAUCCUCACAAUGACAGUAUGAUGUAGAUACUAUUAUCACCCCCAUUUUGGAAGUGAGAAAACUGUAGCUAAGUAACUUACUGCUAAGCAGAGGGCUGGCAUGUGUACCCAGACCAACUGGCUCCAGAACCCAUACUUCUAACCACUACACAGGAUGCCUCUCCAAAGUCACACUUGCCUUCAACAUGGACUCACCCAUCAACAUCUGCACAGAAUUCUACACCCUUUGACUUUCAACCAGAAGGUGUUCCACACCUACCAAAGUUUCAAUGUUUUGACUUCCAUAAUGGCUAAACUCAGUUUCUAGAAGGAAAAAGUGGAGACUGGUCCUAGGGAUAUAGCAGACAGGGCAGAAUGAGGAACAGGAAAAAUAUUUCUAGAGUGAGCCUGAGGCCAAAAAAACCCAAAAAGCUGAGUAAAGGGGAGAACUGGUUUACGGGAGUUGCACCAGAGGUCGGGGGUCCUAGUACACCGCAAACAUGUCUAUUAUGUCCUAUAACGGAGGGGCCGUCAUGGCCAUGAAGUGGAAAAACUGUGUGGCCAUCGCUGCAGACAGGUGCUUCGGGAUCCAGGCCCAGAUGGUGACCACGGACUUUCAGAAGAUCUUUCCCAUGGGUGACCGUUUGUACAUCGGUCUGGCCGGACUCGCCACUGACGUCCAGACAGUUGCCCAGCGCCUCAAGUUCCGGCUCAACCUGUAUGAGUUGAAGGAAGGUCAGCAGAUCAAACCUUACACCCUGAUGAGUAUGGUGGCCAACCUCUUGUAUGAGAAACGGUUUGGCCCCUACUACACUGAGCCGGUCAUUGCUGGGUUGGACCCGAAGACCUUUAAGCCCUUCAUUUGGUCUCUAGACCUCAUCGGCUGCCCCAUGGUGACUGAGGACUUUGUGGUCAGUGGCACCUGCGCCGAACAAAUGUAUGGGAUGUGCGAGUCUCUCUGGGAGCCCAACAUGGAUCCAGAACACCUGUUUGAAACCAUCUCCCAAGCCAUGCUGAAUGCUGUGGACCGGGAUGCAGUGUCAGGCAUGGGAGUCAUUGUCCACAUUAUUGAGAAGGACAAAAUCACCACCAGGACACUGAAGGCCCGAAUGGACUAACCCUGUUCCCAGAGCCCACAUUUUUUUUUUUAAAUAAAAUAGCCUUUCUUUCAAAAA